CAGGGCAGAGGAUUCUGGGAAGCAGAGGGUUCUGGGAAAUGUAGUUUCCGCUUCUCCUCAGUGAGGCAGAGGAAAUCUCCGAGGUGGAAAGUGGAAGUGAAGUCGCUCAGUCGUGUCCGACUCCUUUCGACCCCAUGGGCCUACCACGCUCCUCCGUCCAUGGGAUUUUCCAGGCAAGCGUACUGAAGGGUGAGCAAACUCCAGGCCACGGGAGCGAAACGUACAACUUGAUUUGUCAUCAGGAUGAUACUGUCAUGCCUCUGCUGUUGUCCAGAAGGUAGUCUUUUUUGAGUCCUACUGCUAGGCACAGUGGGUUUCCCAGGUGGCCAGGUGGCGUAGUGGUGAAGAAUCUGCCUGUCAGUGUGGGGGCACAAGAGACAUGGGUUUGAUCUCUGGGUCGGGAAGAUCCCCUGGAGUAGCAAAUGGCAGUCCUUUCUAGUAUUCUUGCCUGGAGAAUUCCAUGGACAGAGCCUGCAGGGUUACAGUCCAUGGAUUCAAAAAGAGUAGAACAUGACUUAGCGACUGAGGAUGCAUACAUGCUAAGCUAAGCAUCUGAAGUUUUUUAAGAUUAAAGAUCAUUUGAAAUGCUGCGAGGCAUGUGGGAUCCUAGCUCCAUGACCAGGGAUCGAACCCACACCCCCUGCACUGGAAGGCUAAGCCAAUGCUGGACUGCCAGGGAAGACUCUGCUGUUUCUUAUAAAGCUAAAGGG
ensembl:lncRNA